AGCAAGUUUCAGGGAAGGUGCAAUUCCUUACUGGCGGUGACCUGCGGAGCCGGGAUUCAUAACGGCGGCCGCGGCAGCCCGCGACCCGCGCAAGCGGCUGAUCCGGUGGAAAUCCGGAGCCAACGGUCAAAGUCCGGAUGGAAGAAACGGAGC
rnacentral:ncRNA from 2 species